rnacentral:snRNA from 1 species
AGCUUUGCGCAGUGGCAGUAUCAUAGCCAAUGAGGUUUAUCCGAGGCGCAAUUAUUGCUAAUCAAAAACUGACAGCUACUUUUAUAGCAGCAAUUGUGAAGGUCUGAGGGAAAAAAAUGGCAUAUUAAGAGCACAAGAAAAAUAAAUAUCAGA